AUUCAGAAUCCCACCAUGGAGGGCUGGGAAUAUUGAAUUUAGAGGACUUCUUACGCGGAAAUACUUCAUCAGCUAUAUUAAUUAUAAACUUAGCAAAAGCAUCAGAAGUUUUAAACAAAUGUUCCCGAGAUACAUCAGGAAAAGAAAUAAGAAUUGGAAAAUGAUCACUGCCAUAGGAAAGUGGAAGUACCUCCCACAAUAAGGAAUGUGAAAUGGAAGAACUACAAAUUGAUAAAUCUAAUGCACUAGGAUUUUCAUUGGGAGCAGACCGACGCGUGGGAACACCAGAAUUUAAUAUACAUAAAUUAUAAUAAUCAA